rnacentral:rRNA from 1 species
UCCAGACUCCUACGGGAGGCAGCAGUGGGGAAUAUUGCACAAUGGGGGAAACCCUGAUGCAGCGACGCCGCGUGAAGGAUGAAGUAUUUCGGUAUGUAAACUUCUAUCAGCAGGGAAGAAAAUGACGGUACCUGACUAAGAAGCCCCGGCUAACUGCGUGCCAGCAGCCGCGGUCAUACGUAGGAUCCGAGCAUUAUCCGGAGUGACUGGGUGUAAAGAGUUGCGUAGGUGGCAUAAUAAGUAGCUAGUGAAAUCUGGUGGCUCAACCAUUCAGACUAUUAGCUAAACUGUUAAGCUCGAGACCGUUAGGGGUAACUGGAAUUUCUAGUGUAGGAGUGAAAUCCGUAGAUAUUAGAAAGAACACCAAUAGCGUAGGCAGGUUACUGGGACGGUCCUGACACUAAGGCACGAAAGCGUAGGGAGCAAACGGGAUUAGAUACCCGAGUACG